AUUGAACGCUGGCGGCAGGCCUAACACAUGCAAGUCGAACGAGUGGCGGACGGGUGAGUAAUGUCUGGGAAACUGCCUGCUGGAGGGGGAUAACUACUGGAAACGGUAGCUAAUACAGCAUACCAUCGGAUGUGCCCAGAUGGGAUUAGCUAGUAGGUGGGGGAAAGGCUCACCUAGGCGACGCUCCCUAGCUGGUCUGAGAGGAUGACCAUCCACACUGGAAGUGAGACACGGACCAGACGCCUACGGGAGGCAGCAGUGGGGAAUAUGGCACAAUGGGUGCAAGCCUGAUGCAGCCAUGCCGCGUGUAGGAAGAAGGCCGUCGGGGUGUAAAGUACUUUCAGCGGGGAGGCGUUACCCGCAGAAGAAGCACCGGCUAACUCCGUGCCAGCAGCCGCGGGAAUAC
rnacentral:rRNA from 1 species